GAAGAUUGCCUCACCUGGCUCACUGGUGUAAUAUAUGCUGUUGUAAUUCACGUUCGGCCGUUCAUUUCCUAAGCAGCCAAGGGCCCCAAUAUUUCACCAUGACAAUGUAAUCACAGGUCCACAUUAAAAAUAACUUAUUGUUUAGAAUCGGGGCCGAAAAAAAACUGUUUAAAACUAUAGCCGUCUUGUCAUUCACGUGGAUGUUUACCUAAGAACCGAGGUCAAAGUGAUUUUAAACACACAGCUUACAACCUUAUUGAUCACAGGGGGGCUUUUCACAGACACACACACACACAGACAGACAUGCAGAACAGAGGAUUCACAAGCCCUUUGUGUACUGAUUAGCAGGAAAUCUCAGUAAUGACUUGUGAUCCAGGGAAUAAGUAAAUGUAAACUAAACUAAAUGUUUUGAUACCUUAAAGCAGGUCUAAUCUGUCUUGGCGGUAUUGCUGUCUGGUCUUCGAUGCUUGAUAUCUUUGCAUGCAUUGAGCAACACGUCAUUUCUUCUGUCACUACUCACUUCUGUUUGUCUACCUGAUUUAGUAGUUGACCUUUGGGCAUUUUGUCACUCAUACCAUUGUAUAACAUUACAGAUUUCAAUAGCCUGUGAAUUAGGACAACAGUUUGGUAUUAAAACAUUAAAUCGCCCUCUACAUUUACCACUCUCCCUCUGUCGCCCUCAUUUCCUUCCUGACAAUGUGUUUCUGCUGCGGAAUAAACAUUGGCAGGGAACGAAGGAAAUGAGUGAGCAACAGGGGGGGCUCAGGGUAGGAUAGAAUCAGAGAGUAUAUAAAAGUUAACUUAUUCAGUGGUUCUGAGAUGAUGACAUACGGUCUGAAAUCGUUGGGCUGUCUAUUGUCAGAAGGAUUUAGCCUUGGCCAAUGAGAAAGGAGUAGGAGUGUGGAAAUCACAGGACGCUAUAGAAGGCAGUGAAGAUACAUCAAGGCCCCCAGGAGGAGGCUUUGCUGGGCUCGGCGGGGACAGGAUGGGCGUCCUCAGAGGAGCUAUCGGAUCAGGCCUCUCAGGCACAGCACCUGGAGCAGCUAGCCCAGCUCUGCAUCGUGAGUAAAAGACCUCAUCUUGCUUUAGAGUACAGUGGGAAAGCCACUAAGAUCCAUCAGAGGGCCUUUGGCAACGACCACCCCAUCACAGACAGGAGUCUGGAGCUGCUGGCCACCGUCUACGCAGAGAUCGGCAAGACAGAAUACUCAGACUCCCUGGACCAGUGUGUGUCAGUGCUGUCCAAGAGGUUUGCUGCUGCCGAGUCCUUCAGAGACAAACUCAACAACGGUCUUCCCCAUUCCCACUCCCAUUCCCAUCGGGAGAAACACACUGAGGUCUGGCACAGGAAAGACCCCAGUCCACAGGAUGACACACCAAAACCGAAGGUCACCAACGGUAAAAUCCCUACGUCCAUACUGAAGAGGUCUGGCUCAGGAUCAGACUCGGAGCCCAGCCACAGAUGGAAAGGCGAGCGACGGGUCCGGUUCCGGGAGCCUGAGACCACUGUGCAUGACGUUCCAUACUAUGACUGUUUAGUUGCCUAUGACACGUCACCGCCACGCCCCCACCUGGCCCUGUUCACCUGCUUGUUCCUGCUGAUGUCACUGCUGGGCGUGGUCAUGUACAGCACGGACCGCCGGCGCCCACAGCGUGUGUGUGAGGAGCUGGAGGCCUCAUUGGCUGUCUAUCUGAUACACAUGAAACAGCUGCUGUGGGGCUGCUGGAUCUGGCUAACCAUGCAGUGACUGGGAGCCACCGAAGGGGGAGAUGUGGAGUAGUGAAUUCACUCUCUUCCUCACUACAUGUCCCUUAAGGUGUCCUUACCCAGCUUGGUCCACGAGCACACCUCAGUCAUACACACUGACUAUCUAUCUAUGGUGUUGAGAUGUGCACCCCUACUGCUACGCUCACACCCAUAUAUGGAGAAAUGUGUAAUCUCAGAGAUACAGUACGUAUCCUCCACACCUGUACACUGGUGGUGGGUAUGCAGCCAUGUUUGUUUUAUCGAUAAGACGUUUUGCACAUCAGCAAUGUUGACGCUCACUGAUUAUGCUCACUUAAUUGCUACAAUCAUUUACAUUUUCCAUUCUUGACAAAAUCUAUUGUAUGUGAGUAAAUGUUUAAUGGAUUGCAAAAUCAAUUGUAUUUAUUUUAUUACAGUACUACAGUACGUAAUUUUGUGUACUUAAAAGAUUACUACAGAUAUGAAUGUCUAUAUACCGUAUAGUAAGGAUUAUCACAAUAUUACGCCUUGUUAUUGCACAUAAUUGAAUGUAGAAAAUGUGAAAACUGCUUUGAAUUGGCAAAAAAAAACACCCUUACUGUCUAAAAUAAGGAUUAUAGAUUGAGUCAAGCACAAUGUGAACACCUUUUAAAAAGGAUUUCUGAAACAGACACAGGACUGCUUCAAUUCACAGUGCCAGGUUGAUCUAGCAAAUUGUUUGACAAAGCCAUCUUUCUUUUACAGCAUAAGAACUGUAGUCUGACCAUUUUUAGGUCAGAUAAAUGUUGUGAUCCCAGUUGGACAAAGAUGACAACUUCAGCACAAUAAUAUGAAUGCUCUCUUUCCUGGGAAUGUACUCAAAUUCAAAGAGUGAUUAUGACAGUGUACCUCUUGGUAAAUGCUAAAAUGCCACAAGUAAUAUCCUCUUGUUACGGUGCGUGAAUGAGGACCCAAAAGCGAAUUAACGUAAACAGAGCUUCUUUAAUGACAAAACAUAGGUAGGCUCAGAUGGACCGGCAGAUUCCGACAGGACAGGGUUGCAGCAAACAUGACGAUAGUCUGGUUCAGGCAUGAAUAACACAAACAAGAAUCCGACAAAGACAGGAGCAAAAACAGAGAGAGAUAUAGAGGACUAAUCAGAGGGAAAAAGGGAACAGGUGGGAAAAGGGGUGACGAGGUAGUUAGGAGGAGACAAGGAACAGCUGGGGGAAAGAGGGGGAGAAAAGGUAACCUAAUAACGACCAGCAGAGGGAGACAGGGUGAAGGGAAAGGACAGAAACAAGACACAACAUGACAAUACAUGACAGUACCCCCCCACUCACCGAGUGCCUCCUGGCGCACUCGAGGAGGAAACCUGGCGGCAACGGAGGAAAUCCUCGAUCAGCGCACGGUCCAGCACGUCCCGAGAGGGAACCCAACUCCUCUCCUCAGGACCGUACCCCUCCCAAUCUACUAGGUACUGAUGACCACGGCCCCGAGGACGCAUGUCCAAAAUCCUACGGACCCUGUAGAUGGGUGCGCCCUCGACAAGGAUGGGGGGGGG
rnacentral:lncRNA from 13 species